GACGAACGCUGGCGGCGUGCUUAACACAUGCAAGUCGAACGGAAAGGCACUGCGUUCGUGGGGUGCUCGAGUGGCGAACGGGUGCGUAACACGUGUGUAACCUGCUCUACACUUUGGGAUAAGUUCAGGAAACUGGGCCUAAGAUCGUACAGGAGCCCCCGUUGCAUGGUGGGGGUUGGAAAGUCUCUGCGGUCGGGGCUGGAUUCGCGGCUUAUCAGUUUGUUGGUCGGGUAGUGGCAUACCAAGGAAUUGGCGGAUAGCCGGCUUGAGAGGGUGACCGGCCACAAUGGGACUGAGGGACGGCGCAGACGCCUACAGGGGGCAGAGGGGGGGAAUAUUGCACAGUGAGCGGGAGCGUGAUGAGGCGACGCUGCGUGCGGGAUGACGGCUUUCGGGUUGAGAACCGCUGUAGGCUGUGACGAAGCGUGUGUGACGGUAAUGAGUAAAGAAGCACCGGCUAACUACGUG
rnacentral:rRNA from 1 species